CCCCCCCCCGCCCGGAGCAUGUGGUUUAAUUGGAAGCAACCGAAGAACUUACCUGGCCCCCCCCCCCCCGCACUUUCCAGAGAGGAUUGGUGCCUUCGGGAACUCAGACACAGGUGCUGCAAAAACGUCAGCUCGUGUCGUGAGAUGUUGGGUUAAGUCCCGUAACGAGCGCAACCCUUGUCUUAGUUACCAGCACGUUAUGGUGGGCACUCUAAGGAGACUGCCGGUGACAAACCGGAGGAAGGUGGGGAUGACGUCAAGUCAUCAUGGCCCUCCCCCCAGGGCUACACACGUGCUACAAUGGUCGGUACAAAGGGGGCAACCGCGAGGUGGAG
rnacentral:rRNA from 1 species